AAAUUGAAGAGUUUGAUCAUGGCUCAGAUUGAACGCUGGCGGCAGGCCUAACACAUGCAAGUCGAACGGUAACAGGAAGCAGCUUGCUGCUUUGCUGACGAGUGGCGGACGGGUGAGUAAUGUCUGGGAAACUGCCUGAUGGAGGGGGAUAACUACUGGAAACGGUGGCUAAUACCGCAUAACGUCGCAAGACCAAAGAGGGGGACCUUCGGGCCUCUUGCCAUCAGAUGUGCCCAGAUGGGAUUAGCUUGUUGGUGAGGUAACGGCUCACCAAGGCGACGAUCCCUAGCUGGUCUGAGAGGAUGACCAGCCACACUGGAACUGAGACACGGUCCAGACUCCUACGGGAGGCAGCAGUGGGGAAUAUUGCACAAUGGGCGCAAGCCUGAUGCAGCCAUGCCGCGUGUAUGAAGAAGGCCUUCGGGUUGUAAAGUACUUUCAGCGGGGAGGAAGGUGUUGUGGUUAAUAACCGCAGCAAUUGACGUUACCCGCAGAAGAAGCACCGGCUAACUCCGUGCCAGCAGCCGCGGUAAUACGGAGGGUGCAAGCGUUAAUCGGAAUUACUGGGCGUAAAGCGCACGCAGGCGGUCUGUCAAGUCGGAUGUGAAAUCCCCGGGCUCAACCUGGGAACUGCAUUCGAAACUGGCAGGCUUGAGUCUUGUAGAGGGGGGUAGAAUUCCAGGUGUAGCGGUGAAAUGCGUAGAGAUCUGGAGGAAUACCGGUGGCGAAGGCGGCCCCCUGGACAAAGACUGACGCUCAGGUGCGAAAGCGUGGGGAGCAAACAGGAUUAGAUACCCUGGUAGUCCACGCCGUAAACGAUGUCUACUUGGAGGUUGUGCCCUUGAGGCGUGGCUUCCGGAGCUAACGCGUUAAGUAGACCGCCUGGGGAGUACGGCCGCAAGGUUAAAACUCAAAUGAAUUGACGGGGGCCCGCACAAGCGGUGGAGCAUGUGGUUUAAUUCGAUGCAACGCGAAGAACCUUACCUGGUCUUGACAUCCACAGAACAUUCCAGAGAUGGAUUGGUGCCUUCGGGAACUGUGAGACAGGUGCUGCAUGGCUGUCGUCAGCUCGUGUUGUGAAAUGUUGGGUUAAGUCCCGCAACGAGCGCAACCCUUAUCCUUUGUUGCCAGCGGUCCGGCCGGGAACUCAAAGGAGACUGCCAGUGAUAAACUGGAGGAAGGUGGGGAUGACGUCAAGUCAUCAUGGCCCUUACGACCAGGGCUACACACGUGCUACAAUGGCGCAUACAAAGAGAAGCGACCUCGCGAGAGCAAGCGGACCUCAUAAAGUGCGUCGUAGUCCGGAUUGGAGUCUGCAACUCGACUCCAUGAAGUCGGAAUCGCUAGUAAUCGUGGAUCAGAAUGCCACGGUGAAUACGUUCCCGGGCCUUGUACACACCGCCCGUCACACCAUGGGAGUGGGUUGCAAAAGAAGUAGGUAGCUUAACCUUCGGGAGGGCGCUUACCACUUUGUGAUUCAUGACUGGGGUGAAGUCGUAACAAGGUAACCGUAGGGGAACCUGCGGUUGGA
rnacentral:rRNA from 1 species